rnacentral:rRNA from 1 species
CGCGUAGGCGGUCGGAUAAGUCAGCUGUGAAAACCACGAGCUCAACUUGUGGCCUGCAGUUGAAACUGUCUGGCUAGAGUGUGGGAGAGGGAAGUGGAAUUCCUGGUGUAGCGGUGAAAUGCGUAGAUAUCAGGAGGAACACCGGUGGCGAAGGCGGCUUCCUGGACCACAACUGACGCUGAGGCGAGAAAGCUAGGGGAGACCAAAACGA